AACAUUUUCUAUUGUCUUUCGUGUAAAUUAAAAUUUGAAAUUUUCAUAAAAAGUAAAAAACGGUCAACAAUUUUUCACAAAUAAACAAAUCUCUACCAUUUCAAUUCUACAUUAGUAGUUCUUGUUUGUGGUUUUUCAGGAGAUCAGAAGUUUAGGGCUGAGCUCUCCAAGAAAUUGUCCUCGGAGAAGAAACAUUGGGUGAUGACCUUGUAGUUGGCUUUUGCUCGGAGGUAAAAAUUUUCUUUUCUUUUAUCGUUUGUUAACUUGAUUAGGCUUUCUUUGAUUUUUCCCCCCUUUUUAUGGUGUUUGAGGAUGACUUAAGUAUGUUGCUAUAAAACAAUGACUUGUAAACGGAAAGUUGAAUAUAACAUACUCGAGAAAAUGUGCAAGUGAAGCUAUGAAUUCCGUUGAAUAAGAGACUUUGGCAGAAUUUAACACUUGCCUUGACCACAACGCCAAACUUAUUUUAUGGAAGUACUCAAAGAAGUUCGAUGAAUGCUCUUCAAUUAGAUUUCGAAGUGAAUGCACUCUGACUUAUGACUUUGAGCCUGGUUGGAAUUAUUGCUUUGCUGUUUGAUUUCAGUGAAAUACCGGUAUUAUAUUGAACUAUUCCAUCCAACAUCUUCUCACUUUAUAUAUAACUGCAAAAUCAGGAAUGGAGAUAAUGUGUAUAUAUUGUUUCAGAAAAAAAUAAGCCUUCAGACAUUAAUCUCUUAUUCUGCCUGUAAGGGUGGAAGUUUGAAUGUUUGAUUUGAAAUUUACUGUCUUAGAGCUACCAACCAACUUAGUUAGUUAGAGAGAAAGAAAUGUUAAGGAAAAAUUAUCACAGAUCAACAAUAUUAAUAAGUGAAGAACAAGGGUGAUAAACUGGAAGGAGACUUUUUGUUCACAUCUGGUUGGCAUUACCAAUAAAAAUGGUAUGGACGUGUCUAUAUCUGCUUCACAUGCUUGCUUGUUUCUUACUUCGUGUGGAAAGAAUGCCACAUUGUAAAUAUUAUAUAAUCAUUUAAAUUUGGUUAGGACGCAUUGGGUUAGGGAGAUGAUGAAAUGGAGGGAUUGGGAUUUUAUUUUUAGUUUAAAUUAUUUGAAUGGAGAUCAUAAGACAGGCAUCUUUUUGUUGGUUGGAGAUCUGACCAUGGAAACUAUCUUUUCAUGACCUUACUACCUCUGUCUAUUAACUUUCUUCUCAUUCAUUUUCCUAGAGUACUCCAGCUUGAUCUUCUCUUACAGAACACUCAUGAAUCUGGGUGAAUUAGUUUGAAGGUUAAUUUUAUAUGCCACUAGAAAGGUGUAUUUCAAGUAAAACAUUUUUCUAAUAACAUUCUAAGUACAUUCCUGAAUUUAACCGACAAAACGUGACCUAUACAUUACAAAUCUCAUUCAAAUUGUUUAACUAGAAUUUGAAAAUCAAUUCAUUCAUUUAGAGAUUUUUAAGGCAUAUUUUGAUGUCUUAUACAUAUAUGACUGCCCUUUUUUCUUACUCAACUUUUGAUGGAUAUUUAUUAUCUAUCAAUAAUGUGAAUUUUACAGUAUAUGAUGGCCAUCCUAAAAGAUGGGAUAUUUGAAACUAUGGCAUCGCAAGGAUAUGUCAUAGUGUGGUUUGAAAUUCAUAAAAUUGGGCCCAAAAUGAUCUCUAUAGAAUGUUCAAAAAUAUAUCUAUUUAUUAGCAUACUUAAAACAUCAACAAACCUUUAAAACUUCAACAAACCCUUAGGCCCUCAUGUAUGGCCAACAUUCUUUCUCGCAUUCAACUAGAAAGACGUUCAUUUAUGCUAGAUAGAACAUCCUUGUUAGGAUACUUAAAAGUUCUAACAAAAACCUAGGCUAACAUUUAUGGUCAACAUCCUUAGGAUAAAUUUCAAUAACUGUCCCUAAACUUAUAUAGUUGUAACGUUACAGUCUUUCAACUUUAAAACGUAACAUAAAACCCUCUAAACUUUUAAAUUUUGCAUAGUAAAAUCUCUCUGACUUUCAAUUACUAAUUUUUCAGUUAGAAAUUGAUGUGAAUAGCUCCCGCAUGGCGCUUAGUCAACAUUUCUCUCUCCUCUCUUAUGCAAAGUGUAAAACUAUUCUCUUUACACAUAAAAAAUUAUUCUGUUUAUAGAGAGAAGAAGGAUUCAAUUCACACAUGGUUUGAGAGAAAAAGAGAAAUACUGACUAAAUUUCAUGUUGGAACUGUUCAGGUCAGCGUUUAACUGAAAAAUCAAUAAUUGGAGGUUAGAGGGAUUUUAUUGUGCAAAAUUUGAAAGUUGAUGAAGUUUUAUGUUACAUUUUUAAGUUAAGGGACUGUAAUGUUACAACUAUAUAAGUUCAGGGACAGUUGUCAAAAUUUGUCCACAUCCUUACAAUAAAAAGAAAAUCCACACUGAGAUUACUAGAAUUUUCUUACAUUCCAAAGCUAACACACUUAAAAGGCCUAACUGCAAGUUGUUUCAUCAUUCAUUCUAGGCAGUUCUAUUCUUCCACUGAUGUGAUAUGUGGUCCUAGGGUUGACCAUGCUUUACCCCUCAAAAUGUGUUUGGAUUACAACCACAGGAUCAUUCAUAAGUACGUUUUCAUCCAGAUUUAAUUGAACAAAUGUCUAACAAAUAUUAGAGCAUUAGAGUAAGCUUGCUUAUUGCCCUUUCCAAACAUUUUCUUCUAAAAAAUUUCCAGAAAAUUAUUGGAGAAGAGAUUGCUGAUAUAUGAUAAGUUGAUGACAUGGUAAGCCCGCUUGCUUAUUUUAAGGGCAGAAGUGCAAGGGAGAGGAAAUAUUUGAGUUUUAAUUUAGCUUCUCUAAAGUACCUUACUCAUAAACUAAGAGGAGAAUUGCUUUAUUCUGAUAGCCAAGAAAGAGACAUGGUAAGGUUUUGGCCCAAAUCACAUGCACUGGGACAGAACUUGGCUUUUUCUGGGAAGCUUAGUGGGUUGUGAUUCAACAGUAUUGUGAGGUAGCUAUGUAAACAAGAUGGUAACUUUUGGUAAAUUUUGAUUUAAUUUGCCGAAAUCAUUUAAUAGCUUAAAGCUCCCUUCUUUCUCUGAUUAUCUCUAUCCUUUUGGGGUGGGAGGGGACAACUAUAUAUGUAAACUAAGCCUGUGUUUGUUUUACGGAAAAUAAUUAAUGCAUAAAAAUUGUGUUUUAUAGAAAUUGUUUUAUAAGAAAAUAUUUUCUAUUAUUUGGUUACAAUGUUAAACUAAUAGUAUAUGUUUAUAUUAUUUAAGUAUAGUUUUUCACAUUUUAAUAAGAUUGUCAAAGUCCAGACAAUUACUUACUUUUUGAAAAAAAUGAAACUAUUUUCCUUAAAAUUAGCUUAGUUUAUCUUUGACCAGGAAAAAAUUUUCGUUAACCCAUUUUCGCCAAACGCUAGAAAAUGCGGAAAAUAUUUUCCAAAAAAAUAUUUUCCGCAAAACAAAUGGAGCCUAACAUUUCAAAUUUCUAUUGCUGAAAAAACUAGAGCUGCAGCCCUUUGGCUACUUGUAUCCUCGUGAAAUUUCAUGGUUUAAGGUGGUGACAUCUAUUAGCAACUUGAAGCUCCUCCCCUCUCCUCUCCAGGGAAAAGAAAAAUAAAAUAUUUCAUGUUGUUCAUCUGCUUAAGAAAAUGAGGUUGAUAGAGAUUUUUGUUAAAUUUGCCAUCUAAGUAAUGAUUGCAGGGGAAAAAAUUAUCUUACAAGCAAGAAUGUGCAAGCGAAGUAGGAGGAAUAACUUAGCAAAAUGAAAAAUUGCUUAUGAUGCCUGCAUAAAAUGAUCAAUAGAGGAUGCUGGACGGUGUUCUUAGGCCUAAAAAUUGGUGGUGGAAAUGAGAAACAAGGAAUGGGAAAUCCUGAUCCUUCAUUGCUCGAUCUCAAAAUUAGUUCUGAUUCCUUUUAACUUGUUCUACCAUCUUUUUCUCAUCUCAUAGGAGCCUUGCGUUUGUUUGACGGAAUAACAGGACCUGGAACAUGAUUGGUGGAGCCAUUCACUGAUAUGCUGGUAAGGAGAGGAAAUUACCUGGUGUACCUUUAGCUGCAAGGGAUUCCUUGUUAUGGGCUCAAAACUAUGUUAAUCUGGACUGGGAAGUUUGGACCUCAAACGUACAUAAUUCACUUCUUUUCAGUGUAUUUGAUAAGGAUACCUUUUAUUUUAUACUACUCUAAUUCCUGACCAAUCAUAAGCUUGCGGUAUAUGGAGACAGGAAAAUAUUACUUGUAAAACAAUGUUAGAUCCAUUGCCAUCUUUGUAGCUAUACAGAUUUCUUUUUACUUGAAAAUGGUUUGAAACUGGUAGCUUUGAUUGACAA